GGUUCCGUAGUGUAGCGGUUAUCACGUCUGCUUUACACGCAGAAGGUCCUCAGUUCGAUCCUGGGCGGAACCA
rfam:Tribolium castaneum strain Georgia GA2 linkage group LG3, whole genome shotgun sequence.